UUCUGCUAGAAUCAGAGUGCUAAUCUAUAUACAACAACAAAAAUGUACACAACACAAAAGUGUUAUUGUGAAUUUCUCAGCAUAACAACAACAAAAUGAUUAUCUCAAUAUAUAUAUAUAUAUAGAAGCUUCACAAAUUGAAAAUUUUCAAACCAAGUAGAAUGAUAAAAUUGAAAUCACCACCACAAAGAAUGCUCCUUUACCACUUCCGAUUCAUUUUUAAUAUGAAAAAAUCGAAUUUGGUCACGACGAAAAUGAAUGAUCGAUUCCAGCAAAAACAAAAGAUCGAACUGAAGGAAAAUGGGUAGGAGAUAAAAGAUCAUACGCAUCUAGAGAGACUGGUGAUGG